rnacentral:rRNA from 1 species
UAGAGUGCAGGAGAGGAAAGCGGAAUUCCUAGUGUAGCGGUGAAAUGCGUAGAUAUUAGGAGGAACACCAGUGGCGAAGGCGGCUUUCUGGACUGUAACUGACACUGAGGCAUGAAAGCGUGGGUAGCAAACAGGAUUAGAUACCCUGGUAGUCCACGCCGUAAACGAUGGGUACUAGGUGUAGGAGGUAUCGACCCCUUCUGUGCCGUCGUUAACACAAUAAGUACCCCGCCUGGGGAGUACGGUCGCAAGACUAAAACUCAAAGGAAUUGACGGGGGCCCGCACAAGCAGCGGAGCAUGUGGUUUAAUUCGAAGCAACGCGAAGAACCUUACCUAGACUUGACAUCUCCUGAAUUACCCUUAACCGGGGAAGCCCUUCGGGGCAGGAAGACAGGUGGUGCAUGGUUGUCGUCAGCUCGUGUCGUGAGAUGUUGGGUUAAGUCCCGCAACGAGCGCAACCCUUAUUUUUAGUUGCUACCAUUCAGUUGAGCACUCUAAAGAGACUGCCCGGGUUAACCGGGAGGAAGGUGGGGAUGACGUCAAAUCAUCAUGCCCCUUAUGUCUAGGGCUACACACGUGCUACAAUGGUGAGAACAAAGAGACGCGAGACCGCGAGGUGGAGCAAAUCUCAUAAAACUCAUCCCAGUUCGGAUUGCAGGCUGAAACUCGCCUGCAUGAAGCCGGAGUUGCUAGUAAUCGCGAAUCAGCAUGUCGCGGG